UGUAAACCAUUUGUGUCUGCGCGUCCAUUUCGAUAGGGUUUUUCGCCACAAGAAGUAUAACAUGGCGGGUCAUAAGCAGCUUUGGGGCUUUAACAAACGUACCUGACACAAAUUUGUGCCAUUUAGUUUUGGGAGAAGCUUAGCACCAAUAAAAGCACAAUUGUGCGAGAGAUUAUUACCUGGGCAGUGGCCAUUUAAUGUGCCCAAUAGCUUACAGGCACACUCAAAUAACAUUUGCGGGGAGCAUUAGGGGGGUUCCGAUAACAGUUGUUUAUUUAAUGAUGGUUUACUUUUAUACAAAAGUAGAAUAGUUUGAACAAAGAACAGAUUGAGCAAUAAAGAGCUGUACUGCAAAAGGUAUCUCUAGCGACCACAUCAAAUGAAAACUAUAAGCAAGAAGACCCCUGAUGACUGACCAAUGGAACCCCACACACACUCAUAUAUCACACGCGUGAACAAACACCUAGCACCCAGCGCGUAUGUGACUUUUUGCGCACGCCAGAUAAACCGUUGAUUGAUGCGGAAGACCCACUGGAUGAUAAUGGUGAUCAAUCAGGCCAAACAAGUGCUGGAUAACCGGCUAAAGAACUGGACUAGCGGCAUUCGCCUAACGGUAGAUGGUAAAAUUACUCAACAAACACACGCACACAACAGCUGUUUGGGUAUGAGGUUUGGGGAGAGGAGGAAUGCCAUAGACAGACGGGAAAUUCCGAUAGAGAGAGAGAGGGAGAACCGAAACGAAUGUCGCUCCUUAUCAGCAGCAGACGAGGAGGAGGAGGAGACGAAGCACAAGACGAAAUAGAGCUGCUUAUGGAAAAGCGAUUAUGUAAAGAGCGUGCAUUGAACAAAUUGGAGACGACGUCGUCGUCGACGUCGUACACACAUUCAAUAAUACGUAAAGAGGAAACACAAGAACAAAUUAAGCUGACAGACGGGGCAAGCCCUGCCCUGAAUAGCCCUGCCCAUGGCCUUACACACACAGAACCGCACAAAACUCAAUGUAAGAGUCAGCCGCCACCCACAGAACCCAUUCAUUAAACACGCUCCCUUUUAAAUGUUUACAACAGCAACAAUUUUCUCCUACAUAAUUCACCAGCGAAAAUAAAAUAAAAGAAAUAUAAGAAACAUACACACACACACACUCAUGAAAAAAGCUUAUGGUAGUUGUAGUUGUCCUAAAAAUAAAUUUCAAUUUGUAUGACGGCACGAACAUCUUCCACUUGGAGAAAUUCCAAGUGUUUCGAUUUUGUUUUUGGCACACACAUAUGAAUAAUCCAACCAAAAGUGUAUUAAUAAUUUUGCGUUAAUGAUUUUGCGCCUGGCUGUGCCUUUGGCACACAUAUUUCUCUAGUGUAUUUUUGGCAAUCAUUUUACGCGCGCACGCACAAUUUCACUGCCAACAAACACACAUAUUUUCUGCAUUCACCACUUGCACUUGUGUCUGGGUAUUUUUGUGUUAUUUUUGUAAUUUAUUAAAGCAGGCCGCCGCUUACAUUUUCGUUUUGGCACACAAUCACAAUUUUUGAGACGAGCAACGCGGCGCCGCCGUUUGGUUAAACUUUUGAAAUUUUUACACACAUGCACGCGGAACAUUCCUCCCGGCGACCGAAACGAAAA